UAGGUGAACUAUGGUCAUUCUCUACAUCUUUAGGAGACGGAGUCUCUUCAACAGAUUGAGCGAUUCCGGACUGUCUCACCCCGAAAUGAUUGACUGAAGCUAAACUACAAGGUGGAGCUUUUAGCUCAGAAGUCGCUGAAGGUUUUGAAGUAAUGAAAUUUUCAACUCGGCUUUUGCUUAAGUAUAGAUCCACUAACAUGUUUGAGUUGGUAAGAGUACUCAAAAUCCUAUGAUCUGUUACGAAAACUCGAAUCUGAGACGAUGAAACUUUGCUCGGCUGAAGAAAUGCUUUCCAAGUGUCUCCUCUCUCAUGAUAGGAAAAAAAAAAAAAACCACCAAAGAUCCAGAACAUGAAAUUAAGAGAGAAGAGAUGAACAAGAGGAAGAAAAAAAAAAGCUUCCAUGGAUGAUCUAGUUCUAGAGAGAAAAUGACUGCAAGUAAUCCAUUUGUAUACUGCCAUUGAAUUUGCACCGAGGAAGGAUCUUCAACCUUGCGAUUGCUGAACUCACCUAUCAGUCCUUUUAUAGCCUCUUGAAAGAAAAGAACAGUGAUAAGCUGUUGCUGCUGCUUGGUGGUAAAGUCAUGUUUGCUUAAUCUUGAAAUUGUUCCUCUUCUGGUUUACAGACGACUCAACCAUCGAAGUUGAAUUAACGGGUAAGGCUGAACUAACUUCAUUCGAAGCAGUAGCAAUGCCAGUAGAUACAUUAACAUAAGCCACUGUGUGAUUCUCAACUUGUGGGGCAGUUGAGGUUGUAGAAACAUUCAAAGUCUUCUCUAGAGAAAGAUUACGUUUAUGUUUAUGAUGUUUUGCUGUCCAUUUUUCUGUUU